rnacentral:rRNA from 1 species
UAAACAUUGACAGUAAAUAACACCCACUGUCCGCCUGGGGACUACGAGCACCAGCUUAAAACCCAAAGGACUUGGCGGUGCUUUAGACCCACCUAGAGGAGCCUGUUCUGUAACCGAUAACCCCCGUUGAACCUCACCCUUCCUUGUUUUUCCCGCCUAUAUACCACCGUCGUCAGCCUACCCUGUGAAGGCCCUAUAGUAAGCAAAAUCGGCAUAGCCCAAAACGUCAGGUCGAGGUGUAGCGAAUGGAAGGGGAAGAAAUGGGCUACAUUCACUGAUUCAGUGAACUACGGAUGAUCACCCUGCAACGAGUAUCUGAAGGAGGAUUUAGCAGUAAGCAAAAAACAGAGUGUUUUGCUGAAACUGGC